rnacentral:rRNA from 1 species
GACGAACGCUGGCGGCGUGCUUAACACAUGCAAGUCGAACGGUAAGGCCCUUCGGGGUACACGAGUGGCGAACGGGUGAGUAACACGUGGGUGAUCUGCCCUGCACUUCGGGAUAAGCCUGGGAAACUGGGUCUAAUACCGGAUAGGACUCCUGGCUUCAUGGUUGGGGGUGGAAAGCUUUUGCGGUGUGGGAUGGGCCCGCGGCCUAUCAGCUUGUUGGUGGGGUAAUGGCCUACCAAGGCGACGACGGGUAGCCGGCCUGAGAGGGUGACCGGUCGCACUGGGACUGAGAUACGGCCCAGACUCCUACGGGAGGCAGCAGUGGGGAAUAUUGCACAAUGGGCGCAAGCCUGAUGCAGCGACGCCGCGUGAGGGAUGACGGCCUUCGGGUUGUAAACCUCUUUCAGCUAUGACGAAGCCCAAGUGACGGUAGUGCAGAAGAAGGACCGGCCAACUACGUGCCAGCCGCCGCGGUAA